GAAAUGAACAUUAUUUCCUUUUAACAUAGAAACAAGAUCAUUACAAGGUUCUGGGGCUUGGAAAUCUCCGUCACAAGGCGACAUUUCAAGACAUCAAAAAAGCAUUUAGAAAGAAAGUGUUGAAACAUCACCCAGACAAGAAAUCCUCAAAGACUGAUUCCAAAGAAAGCAAGCUUUCUGAACAAAGUCUGUUUGCCUGCAUAACAAUUGCAAAUGACAUUUUAAGCAACAAAACAAAGCGACGAGCAUAUGAUAGUGUAGAUGCCUUCUUUGAUGAUUCAAUUCCUUCAGUCAGUGCAAACUCAAAAAGUAAUUUUUUCGAAGUGUUUGGCCCUGUGUUUGAAAGAAAUGCAAGGUGAGUCUUCUAUGAUUUGUUAUUUUUAAGGGAUUUUCAGGUAUUUGAAAAGGCCAAGCGCCGCAUUUCAGAAAAAGGUUUGAUGCAGUACGACUUGUCUUCCAUUGGCCCCAUAACAUGGAUCUUGUCAGCAUGGCUAGUAUGCUAGCCAGACAA